CAGGUUGCUUUAUUUUUUAUGGAUCUUCUCAGAAUCUUUAAUCGUGUAGGCUAUUGGUUUUGCUAUCCACUUUCAAGAAAUGUUUAACAAGGACAAUGGCUCUACCUAUAAAACAGAUUAAAAAAUACAACUUCUACCCUUCAUUACGAGCUAGGGCCUGUCGAGUUUGGAUUGCUAAAUUUAAUGGUCAGCCAAGCAAUUUUAAUUGUGUUUUUGUUGACAAUCAGGGUGGAGCUAUUCAAGCUUUAGCUAAAACAAGGGAUCUCCUAACAUUUGCAGCAACAAUUAUUGAAGGAAAUCACUAUGAAAUCAAAGGAUUCUAUACUUAUGAAAACAGAGUAGUAAACACAGUUACUG